AUGGCCUUGGAGGGCGGUGCUGGCAUUGGCAAUGGCAUAAUCAAGCGGCCGCCGCAGCAAUGCUCGGUCGCCGUGGAGACGGCCGCUCACCACGCCGACGGUGAGACCGAGGAGGAGGACGAAGGAAAGCCAUGGAUCGCGAGGAAGUGGAUCUCGUCGCUUGCGGUUUGCCUCGUCGCGCUGCCGUUCCUGGCGAUCAUGGUUAGCCGGCGGGACAGGCCGUUGCCGCUGGCGUCCGGCUGGACAUCGGCGGCGACGGCAAGGACGACGUACGAUCGCCGAGAAUCCAAUCAGGACGGGCUCCUCGGAGGCCUGCUUGUUCCCGGGUUCGACGAACAAUCGUGCAUCAGCCGGUACCAGUCCACCUCCCACCUCAAGAAGCUGGCGCGCUCGCCGUCGACACACCUCGUGAAGCGGCUGCGGGAGCAGGAGGCGCUGCAGAGGCGGUGCGGCCCGGGCACCGAGACAUACCGGCGAGCGGCGGAGCGGCUGGGGCCCCGAGAAGAUGGCACUAGCACAACCACGGAUGACGACGCCUGCAAGUACCUCGUGCUGGUGCCUUACAGGGGCCUGGGGAACCGGAUACUGGCCAUGGCGUCGGCGUUCCUCUACGCCAUGCUCACCGACCGCGUGCUGCUCGUCCACAGGGGCACGUCGCUGCCCGACCUCCUCUGCGAGCCGUUCCAGGAGACGUCGUGGUUGCUGCCCCCGGACUUCCCGCUCAGGGACCUCGAGAACCUGACCGGCGAGGUGCCGGAGAGCUACCGGAACCUGGUGCGGGAGUACGGCCGGGCCGCGUCCGUGUCCGAUCUCCCAUACGUCUUCGUCGACCUCGACCACGCCUGCACCUACCACGACAAGCUCUUCUACUGCGACGACCACCGGGAGUUCCUCCACCGUGCGCCGUGGCUGGUGAUGAGGACGGACGGCUACUUCGUGCCCGCGCUCUUCCUGAACCCGGCGUACCAGGAGGAGCUCGACAAGCUUUUCCCCCGAAAGGACUCGGUGUUCUACCUCCUGGCACGGUACCUCUUCCACCCGACGAACAAAGUGUGGGGGCUGAUCACGAGGUUCUACGAUUCCUACCUGAAAAAUUCGGACGAACGGCUGGGCAUCCAGGUCAGGGUGUUCGACGGCGACACGCCGUUCAAGCACGUCCUGGACCAGAUCCUCGCGUGCACCUCGCAGGAGCAUCUGCUGCCCGAGGUGGUGGCGCAGGACCCGGGGCCGCCCGCCUCGACCGCCGGCGCGCGGUCGAAGGCCGGGUACGUCGGCCACGGGCUCGGCGGGCUCACCCCGUGGAUCAUGUUCAAGCCCGAGAACCUCACCACACCCGACCCGCCGUGCCGGCGGGCGGCCUCCAUGGAGCCGUGCUUGCACGGGCCUCCCUUCUACGACUGCAGGGCCAGGCGCGGCGCCGAUACCGGAAAGCUUGUGCCGCAUGUCCGGCAUUGCGAAGACAUGAGCUGGGGACUGAAACUUGUUCACCCGGAAUAG
rnacentral:rRNA from 1 species